GACGAACGCUGGCGGCGUGCCUAAUACAUGCCAGUAGAACGCUGAAGCUUGGUGCUUGCACCGAGCGGAUGAGUUGCGAACGGGUGAGUAACGCGUAGGUAACCUGCCUGGUAGCGGGGGAUAACUAUUGGAAACGAUAGCUAAUACCGCAUAAGAGUAGAUGUUGCAUGACAUUUGCUUAAAAGGUGCAAUUGCAUCACUACCAGAUGGACCUGCGUUGUAUUAGCUAGUUGGUGAGGUAACGGCUCACCAAGGCAACGAUACAUAGCCGACCUGAGAGGGUGGUCGGCCACACUGGGACUGAGACACGGCCCAGACUCCUACGGGAGGCAGCAGUAGGGAAUCUUCGGCAAUGGACGGAAGUCUGACCGAGAAACGCCGCGUGAGUGAAGAAGGUUUUCGGAUCGUAAAGCUCUGUUGUAAGAGAAGAACGAGUGUGAGAGUGGAAAGUUCACACUGUGACGGUAUCUUACCAGAAAGGGACGGCUAACUACGUG
rnacentral:rRNA from 1 species